rnacentral:rRNA from 1 species
AUGAGGGUACCUGCAUGCCAAGGAUCUGGGCAUAGACGUGGAGUACCUCACCUAUGUCUGGCUCCUAUUGUAUACUACAUGGGGAUGGAGACUUUGGCAGACAAACUGCAGAGGGCGUAUCAUCAUCAUUGCAACGGAGGAGACCACGGUGAUGAUCCUUCAAGUUCUCAUGCCAGCAGGGUCGCCAUGCCCAGGAACAAGCUGCUGGUCCAUCAAGUUCAAGUGGAGGUGCUGCUGAAGAAGAACAUGCCAAAGGUCAAUCCACUGGUUCCUUCUCUGCCAAUUCCUCCCUGUCUUCAGUUGCUCUGUUUGCUUAUAUGUGUGCCAAUACAUUUUUCUUGUUGA